CCGAGUUUACGAACUCCCAAACCCUUUGUGAACCUUACCGUAUCGUUGCCUCGGCGGGACCGCCCCGGCGCCCUCGGGCCCGGAACCAGGCGCCCGCCGGAGGCCCCAAACCCUCAUGUCUUUAGUAGUUUUCUCCUCUGAGUGACACAUAAACAAAUAAAUAA
rnacentral:misc_RNA from 1 species